UGCUCAGGGCAGGGCAUGAGGCUCUGCUCCAUGGAGCUCCCUGCACCUGGGCGAGCAACCCUAGGGGGCCUGCUCCUGCCACAGCUGGAGCCAGAGCAUCGGCUUAAUAACUAGUGUGCUGGGCAGGCACUACUCACAGGGCCAUAUUUACUUUAUGGGCUGUGAGGCAGGCAGGGCAGCCCCUCCCGGGACCAGGGGAGGGGGACAGCGGCUCAGGGAGUGUGAGGAGCUGCUGGCUGCUGCCUUAAGGCCAGGCGGGCUGUGCAGUAGCCAUCUGUCCAGCAGCUCCCCAGUAACUUGAUGAGGACCUGACACCCCAGGGUGCAGCUCAGGGGAGCUGGGUAGGUGCCUACAGUGGAUGAUGAUGGUUCCUAACUGACCUUUUCCUCUUUUCUACUUUUUAGUGUCAAAUGGGAUGAGCACUUACAAUUAUUUGAAUCAAAGCCGCAGACAUAGCGCAGGUGCCUCAUCAAGGAACAAAAUUCCAUCAUUUCGUAAACAAAUCUUGCCAGAGUAACCAGAUCACAACCCGGGUUCAUCUGCACGGAGGUUCGGAGAUGGCUACAUCGUCACAAUGAAGAUCAAAUCUCCAAAGGACGACUUGCUUCCCGACCUGAACCCCGUGGAGCAGUUCUUCCAGGGGAACUUCCCGGGCAGCGUGCAGAGGGAGAGGCACCACAACAUGCUCCAGUUCCAGGUGCCCUCCUUCUCCCUGGCCAGGAUCUUCCGGCUGCUCAUCUCCCACAAGGACAGCCUGCUCAUCAAGGAGUACUCGGUCACACAGACCACUCUGGACCAGGCAAGUCCCCCGAGGGGAGCCGGGUGCAGAGCGGGGCUCUGCAAAGUCCCGACCGGACAGCCCAACCAGGGCUGGAAUCCCCACCACAGGGAGGCAGGACAUGCCUGAGCAUCUGUCCAUUAGGCUGAAACUCAGCC